rnacentral:rRNA from 1 species
AACGAACGCUGGCGGCAGGCUUAACACAUGCAAGUCGAGCGCCCCGCAAGGGUAGCGGCAGACGGGUGAGUAACGCGUGGGAACGUACUUUCUGGUUCGGAACAACUCCGGGAAACUGGGGCUAAUACCGGAUAAGCCCUAACGGGGAAAGAUUUAUCGCCGAAAGAUCGGCCCGCGUCUGAUUAGCUAGUUGGUGAGGUAACGGCUCACCAAGGCGACGAUCAGUAGCUGGUCUGAGAGGAUGAUCAGCCACCCUGGGACUGAGACACGGCCCAGACUCCUACGGGAGGCAGCAGUGGGGAAUAUUGGACACUGGGCGCAAGCCUGAUCCAGCCAUGCCGCGUGAGUGAUGAAGGCCUUAGGGUUGUAAAGCUCUUUUGUCCGGGAAGAUAAUGACUGUACCGGAAGAAUAAGCCCCGGCUAACUUCGUG